rnacentral:rRNA from 1 species
UACGGAGGGUGCGAGCGUUGUCCGGAAUCACUGGGCGUAAAGGGCGCGUAGGCGGCGCGGGAAGUCAUCGGUGAAAGUUCAGGGCUCAACUCUGAAUCGGCCGGUGAUACUCUCGUGCUCGAGCACUGUAGAGGCAGGUGGAAUUCCGGGUGUAGCGGUGGAAUGCGUAGAGAUCCGGAAGAACACCAGUGGCGAAGGCGGCUCACUGGACUGGUAUUGACGCUGAGGUGCGAAAGCGUGGGGAGCAAACAGG